rnacentral:lncRNA from 1 species
UAUACAAAAAAUUUUCAAUAAUCAACAAUAGUAUUCACACUGUUUUAAUUUGGUUAGCAAAUUUUAAACACUUCAUUAAAAUCAUAUCAGAAAUAUGAUGUUCAUGUUUUGUUAUAUACCUAAGAAAAAUAAUUUCUAUCAUCAUGCAUUACCUAUUUAUAAAAAAAAAUAAUGAAGCUCCAUUUUAGAGAUUAAAACAAUAGAUAUAAGGUUGAGAAACAAUUCAGUGGUCAACUUGUGAAUUGGAGAUCUUCGCUACAUAACAAUCACCAGAUAUACAGAUGUUAGACUUGGUUAGAUGACAUACAGCUAAUGACAAACUUAAACAGCUAUUUAAAAUGCCAGACAAGAAGGGAAGAUCAGGUAAAAGGUGACGUUUAAAACUAUAGACCUGGGAAGAAAUGGCAAGAGCUAGCAAUGGAUACAGAAGAAUGGAAGGAAAUAUGCUAAGGAAAUAG